UACUUUAACGUGUGAGAAAGAGAUGUGGGAUAGAGUUAUCUUCAGGGCAGGAAAUGAGACAUCAAAGCGGUUGGCAGUGACCGCGCCAAUUAGACGGGGCUCGUGAUGUAAUGUGUGCUUAGAGCGUUAAAACAAUUGGAUACGCCCAUGGUGUGUGUGACUUGUCCUAUACGGUAACAAUGGCUUUACACUUUCAGUUUUUCACUUGGAUUUUUGCACGGAUCGUACGGACGUUGAAACAACAAUUGCCAACAACCGCUUCAAACGAUGACACUUGGAAACGCCGACAGAUUUUUUACCGCACGGAAAGAAAAACAGAGCUUACCUAUUUACGCGUCAAAUCUAUUUAUCUAAAACUAUAUCUCUAGGAGUACGAGAAAACCGUUGUAUUUGUAAUUUUUUCGUGUAUGUGCGUAAUGAUGGAUGUUAAAUGCAGAGAUAUUUGUUGCGUUGACGCUACCUUCGUAAAUUCGCCGACUUUUUAGCAGAGAACUUUGUGUUCGUGGCGGCUCCGGUUGGUUAAUCACUCUAAGAAUGUGCAGGAUGUCGGCAAACUUCUUGGAAGAGCACAAAAGAUAAUUUGAUGAUGUAAUUGUUGGUUGAACGGGAUCGGGAGGGCUGUCUCGAAUUGGGUGAAAUUGGCAACGGACCGUAGACGACAUUCUUCGAGCUAUAAAACGAUAUAAUUUGUGGGUUUAGAUUUACUCUGGCCUUUCUAUAAGAUGACACCGUCUGUUUUCAUAUAUAGGUAUAGGUAGGUAGAUACUCUAGGUACAUAGAUACUUGAAAAUAAACCAUCAUGUAGGCACUAGGUAUUGUUGAAAAGAAGUUAGAUACAAUGUAAUACCUUCUUUAAGGUCUAUGACCUAUUAUCUAUUUAUAGAAGAAAUGUGUCUUUUGUCAAGCAUGUAAGAAACACUUUAAGAAACAUGGUAUUCUGAAAAGUCACAUAAUAAAAUUCCAUAUUAUAUUUA